AUACGGAGGGUGCAUGCGUUAUCCGGAUUCAUUGGGUUUAAAGGGUGCGCAGGCGGAAUGAUAAGUCAGUGGUGAAAUCCUACAGCUUAACUGUAGAACUGCCAUUGAUACUGUCAUUCUUGAGUACACUUGAAGUGGGCGGAAUGUAUCAUGUAGCGGUGAAAUGCAUAGAUAUGAUACAGAACUCCGAUAGCGAAGGCAGCUCACUAAAUUGUAACUGACGCUCAGGCACGAAAGCGUGGGGAGCAAACAGGAUUAGAUACCCCAGUAGUCC
rnacentral:rRNA from 1 species